AUGUAGCACUCGUCCACUGCGGUUCCUGCGCGCCGUCCGCACCCACCUGACGACUGCUCGCCACGUGUUGUAAGCC
rnacentral:sRNA from 1 species